GAACUGCGAUAAGUAGCGUGAAUUGCAGACGCUUUGAACGUUAAACUUUCGAACGCACAUUGCGCCGUAGGAGUCCUACCCUACGGCACAUCUGGUUGAGGGUCAUGAUCGUAAACAUCCGCCAAGUAGCUGUAUCUAUAGAACUAACUGGCGAAUCACGGGUUCGGCUGCGCCGCCUAGUCGGUCGAACGUGUUUUGCCAUCAUGCUCUAGAGGAUAGUGUCUUCUCGAAAGAGAGAGUCUACCUACCACAUGGAUGGGCUAUCAGCUGAAGACGAUAGGUUCCGGUCCUAAGGUAUCGUACUACGCUCCUAAUCCGAACGUAAAUACUCUAGGGCGAUGGGUUUGUCGGCUGCGUAGUACCAUACGUGCAUGGUGAAGUAAUUCGUUUCCCCGACCUC
rnacentral:misc_RNA from 1 species